AGGAGAACUGAACGCAGGCUCCUUUGACUCUAGAGUCUAUGCCUGGCCAUCACUGUGUCCUCCAGAGAGUGAUACAGAGGCAGCAGUAAUGCAGCCCUUCCCAUAACAAGAUUUAAGCAGGUGCUUACCCACCCCUGCUGGCCCAGAGGAUUACACAUAUACACAUGGAUGAGUCUAUGGAGACUGUAUUGUUUUUCCAUAUGGGCUGAAAACCCCAAACCCACAGCAUGGAGCACAAUAGAGUGAAAGGCUUAACAGAAGCUGGAAGAGAAGGUACACGUUAUCACAACUACCACAAAAGGAUAAACUGACACCAUGAAUUGCUGCACAGCAGCAUCCUUUUUGUAAGGCUGGUAAUUUCUGACACCAAACAUCACUGAGAAUGUCUUAAUUAGUGUUUAUGUUGAUGGCUGUGUAGGUUUGAGGUGACGUGUCUCUGAGUUUGCAGCAGGGGAGAGGGGGCAGAGCGAAGGGAACAAAAGCAGAUUUUUUGAUUUGCUGCCCAGAACCACAAAAAUGUCUUUUAAAGAAUCACUCCCUCCUCCAAACAGACUGGGGGGAGAGAUGAAGGAAGAGAGAUUGAAAGAUAGUAAAUUGGAGGAAGGGAGAGAGGGGCAAGGAUGGGGGAAGGUGAGACACACAUGCACAGCUAUUUGCAUGUUUUAUUGGGUCUUUGAUUUCAAUGUAUUUACAACCUUAAAGCUAACACCCCAGUGGGAAGUUCUGAAGAUUACUGUAUUUGCAAUCUCUUUAGCUUCAGGUCUGUAUCAAAAGACCUGUCUGUCUCACUUCCAGCCAGGCCUUUAGCAAGCUGUAUCUAGGUUAUGUACCAGCCUGAUCUAGAGGAGACACUAAACCAAGACCUCACCAGCCCUCUGGGAGUGACUCAGGUGAAAAAUAAACAACCAUUGCCAUAUCUCUUUUCAGAAAGAGUGAGGGUCCCCUUUUUACAGUCCUGCAACAAUGAAAGUCAGGUUCUAACAUCCACAGUUACCUCUAACCCUGCUUUACUCCCUCCAGGACACUGUUACGUCCUCCUUUAGGUCUUCCCAGAGGCCUGGCCCUUUGCUUGUAUGCGUCUUUAUGUAUAAUCACCUCUCUAAGAAUCAGGUGAUGAUUUUAAAGGCACUACAUAGUACAUACACAUAAAAUGUGUGAAACUGUAGUGUCCACAGCUUUCCAGAAUACAAUGCGUUUUCCUCCCAAAUCACUGACCCAGGAUUAACAUAGAUCUUGCUGGGAUACCUUGAAUCCCUUAGUGAGAACCUACUUUCAUUCCUGUCUAAAAUGCAUUUUCCUUGGGGUAGCUCAUUCCUUUGUUUUCUCCCAGCUUUAAAGAUCUUGCUGGAGCAUUUCUGUGGUCAGACUGGAUGGUUUCCGGGAGAGCUCAAGGUUUUCUGUGUCUCACCCUGUUUACCACAGGAAAUGGGGAAAUGUGAGACAGAUAUAUACAUUUCUAAAAUGGGCAUUAUGACAGAGAUUCUGACUGGCUGCUGAGGGUUCCUACUGUGCACGUAUACUGUAAGAUCCCCAACUUCCCAGGGUCAAAUUUCUGCCAGCCCUAACAAAAUACACAAUGUUCAGCUACAUUUUUCAUAGUCGGUGGAGAUGUGAUGUGUAAUGUGCCACACCCCAGAUCCCACUUACACACUCUCCAGUCUCCACAUUAUUUAACAUCCAUGUGAGAGGUAGGUAGAUCCCGGUCUUUACACACAAGAAUGCUGUGGUUACUGAACUGCCCAUCUCUCUCAGCUUCCCCCGCCCAAAUCGCUCCAUGUUCCUAUGAUUCUCCUCUUCCUCUUUCUUGCUCUUCCUCCUUGUCUGCCUUCCCUUUUCAUCUCUGUGAGCUGUACACUGUUAAAUGGUGAGGCUGUGAUUUCAGCCAGUGCAGUGUUGAGCUAGGGACAUUAUCUGAGGGGGCAUCAACUCCCCUUUUCAGCCUCUACCCCAUUUCAAGUCGUUUGCCUCCUGGACUCCUAUGGUGCAAAAUUACUCUUCUUCUAGCUAAAUGGAUCAGAGAGACUCAUAUAUAGUGACUGGGACUAUGGCAUAGGUAGAUAAUGAAGGUCAACUGUUUUUUUGUUAGGCUUUCAGGGUACCAAACUCUAUCUAACUAUCAAGUUCCAUAAGCCCCAGUUUUGAAAGCAUGACUUCUAGCGAUUGCAUUUCUGCUGGAAGAAACCCUCUUUUAGAGGUAUUUCAAGAUCCAGCAAGAAUUUGUCACAUUAUGGAAAAGAGCCUGCCAUCAAUACACUGCUGUUCACUGGUCAAAGAGCCACUGACCCGCACAGGUUUAAGUGGCAGCAUCAUUCCAAAACCCAUUCACUCACCCCAAUUAGCACUCUGGAGAAAGGAGAUAAUGAGUGCUCUUCCAAAUGCCCUUUUCAGCAUGGUUGGUCAGUGUGAAUCUCAUAACCUCCUUCCAAAAGUCAACCAGUACCCAUAAUUCACCCAGUAUUUUCACUUCCUCUGACUUUGCUAAGUUGUGGCUAGGGAAGAAUAAAUCAUCUGAAGAAUUUGGUCUUA